GAUGAACGCUGGCGGCGUGCCUAAUACAUGCCAGUCGAGCGAACGGACGAGAAGCUUGCUUCUCUGAUGUUAGCGGCGGACGGGUGAGUAACACGUGGAUAACCUACCUAUAAGACUGGGAUAACUUCGGGAAACCGGAGCUAAUACCGGAUAAUAUUUUGAACCGCAUGGUUCAAAAGUGAAAGACGGUCUUGCUGUCACUUAUAGAUGGAUCCGCGCUGCAUUAGCUAGUUGGCAAGGUAACGGCUUACCAAGGCAACGAUGCAUAGCCGACCUGAGAGGGUAAUCGGCCACACUGGAACUGAGACACGGUCCAGACUCCUACGGGAGGCAGCAGUAGGGAAUCUUCCGCAAUGGGCGAAAGCCUGACGGAGCAACGCCGCGUGAGUGAUGAAGGUCUUCGGAUCGUAAAACUCUGUUAUUAGGGAAGAACAUAUGUGUAAGUAACUGUGCACAUCUUGACGGUACCUAAUCAGAAAGCCACGGCUAACUACGUG
rnacentral:rRNA from 1 species